rnacentral:rRNA from 1 species
AUUGAACGCUGGCGGCAUGCUUUACACAUGCAAGUCGAACGGUAACAGGCCUUCGGGUGCUGACGAGUGGCGAACGGGUGAGUAAUGCAUCGGAACGUACCCAGAGGUGGGGGAUAACGCAGCGAAAGCUGUGCUAAUACCGCAUGUGAUCUGAGGAUGAAAGCGGGGGACCGAGCAGCAAUGUUUGGCCUCGCGCCUUUGGAGCGGCCGAUGUCGGAUUAGCUAGUUGGUGGGGUAAAGGCCUACCAAGGCGACGAUCCGUAGCUGGUCUGAGAGGACGAGCGGCCACACGGGGACUGGUGCCCGGCCCAGACUCCGACGGGAGGCAGCAGGGGGGAAUUUUGGACAAAGGGCGCACGCCGGAUCCGGCAAUGCCGGGUGCGGGAAGAAGGCUUUGGGUUUGUAAACGGGUUUUGGCGGGAACGAAGCGGUGCCCGCUAAUACCGGGCGCUAUUGACGGGACGUGAAGAAUAAGCCCCGGCUAACUACGUG